rnacentral:tRNA from 1 species
AGGCUCAUAGCUCAGCGGUAGAGCACUGGACUUUUAAUCCACGGGUCAUGGGUUCGAUCCCCGUUGAGCCUA